UAACGCGUGAGGAACCUGCCUCAAAGAGGGGGACAACAGUUGGAAACGACUGCUAAUACCGCAUAAGCCCACAGCUCGGCAUCGAGCAGAGGGAAAAGGAGUGAUCCGCUUUGAGAUGGCCUCGCGUCCGAUUAGCUAGUUGGUGAGGUAAUGGCCCACCAAGGCGACGAUCGGUAGCCGGACUGAGAGGUUGAACGGCCACAUUGGGACUGAGAUACGGCCCAG
rnacentral:rRNA from 1 species